rnacentral:misc_RNA from 1 species
GAGACAGUGAGUCAUCGAAUCUUUGAACGCACAUUGCGCCCGCCAGCAUUCUGGCGGGCAUGCCUGUUCGAGCGUCAUUUCAACCCUCGACCUCCCUUUGGGGAAGUCGGCGUUGGGGACCGGCAGCACACCGCCGGCCCUGAAAUGGAGUGGCGGCCCGUCCGCGGCGACCUCUGCGUAGUAAACCAACUCGCACCGGAACCCCGACGUGGCCACGCCGUAAAACACCCAACUUCUGAACGUUGACCUCGAAUCAGGUAGGACUACCCGCUGAACUUAAGCAUAUCAAUAAGCGGAGGA